rnacentral:rRNA from 1 species
GUCCCAGUUCAGAUUGCAGUCUGCAACUCGACUGCAUGAAGUCGGAAUCGCUAGUAAUCGCGGAUCAGCAUGCCGCGGUGAAUACGUUCCCGGGCCUUGUACACACCGCCCGUCACACCAUGAGAGUCGGGAACACCCGAAGUCCGUAGCCUAACCGCAAGGGGGCGCGGCCGAAGGUGGGUUCGAUAAUUGGGGUGAAGUCGUAACAAGGUAUC